UUGCAGAUGUGUCCUUUCAAAGUCCCCUCACAGAGGCACAACAGCUCGUCAAAGCAUUUCCGGAUGAGCCCGUUGGUCACCAUCCCAACAACAUCGCAGGUCACCGCCACGAAGACUUCGGCGCCGCCGGCCCUGUGGUGGUGAUGCUGGGCUGUCUGUUCCUCAUAUUCUUUGCCGUGGGAAUCCCCACGUUCAUUCAGAAAAAGCGCCGAGAGGCCAAGGAGCGUCGCGAGGCCAUCCGCCGACUGGAAGCCGCAGAGCGCAGAGGCGUCGCCGAAGGAAUCUCGUUCCAAGCGCCCUCCAUGGAUAGCUGAGCGACGCCGCUAGGCCCCUUGCAGAGGCGCCUCGAAGU